rnacentral:rRNA from 1 species
GACGUAGGGCGCAAGCGUUGUCCGGAUUUAUUGGGCGUAAAGAGCUCGUAGGCGGUUUGUCGCGUCUGCUGUGAAAAUCCAGGGCUUAACCCUGGACCUGCAGUGGGUACGGGCAGACUAGAGUGCGGUAGGGGAGAUCGGAAUUCCUGGUGUAGCGGUGAAAUGCGCAGAUAUCAGGAGGAACACCGGUGGCGAAGGCGGAUCUCUGGGCCGUAACUGACGCUGAGGAGCGAAAGCAUGGGGAGCGAACAGG